GCCGCGGCGGCGGCGGCGGCAGCCGAGGGAAAAUGGCGGACGGUGUGGAUCACAUAGAUAUUUACGCGGAUGUGGGCGAGGAGUUCAACCAGGAAGCUGAAUAUGGUGGGCAUGAUCAAAUAGAUUUGUAUGAUGAUGUCAUCUCUCCAUCUGCAAAUAAUGGAGAUGCCCCAGAGGAUCGCGAUUACAUGGAUGCUCUCCCACCAUCUGUUGGCGAUGAUGUAGGUAAAGGAUCAGCACCAAAUGUUGUCUAUACCUAUACUGGAAAAAGAAUUGCAUUGUACAUUGGAAAUCUUACAUGGUGGACAACUGAUGAAGAUUUAACUGAAGCAGUUCAUUCUUUGGGAGUAAAUGAUAUUUUGGAGAUUAAGUUUUUUGAAAACCGUGCUAAUGGCCAGUCAAAGGGAUUUGCCCUUGUUGGUGUAGGAUCUGAAGCAUCCUCAAAAAAGUUAAUGGAUCUGUUGCCUAAAAGAGAACUACAUGGUCAGAAUCCUGUUGUGACUCCUUGUAAUAAGCAGUUCCUGAGUCAAUUUGAAAUGCAAUCCAGGAAAACUACACAAUCAGGACAAAUGUCUGGGGAAGGUAAAGCUGGCCCUCCAGGAGGCAGUUCACGUGCAGCAUUUCCACAAGGUGGUAGAGGACGGGGCCGUUUUCCAGGGGCUGUUCCAGGUGGGGACAGAUUUCCUGGACCAGCUGGACCAGGAGGGCCACCCCCACCUUUCCCAGGAAAUUUGAUCAAGCAUCUUGUUAAAGGAACUCGGCCUUUGUUCCUGGAAACUAGGAUUCCAUGGCAUAUGGGGCACAGCAUAGAGGAAAUACCCAUUUUUGGCCUAAAAGCUGGACAAACUCCACCACGUCCACCCCUAGGUCCUCCAGGCCCUCCUGGCCCACCAGGCCCUCCACCUCCUGGUCAGGUUCUUCCUCCUCCAUUAGCUGGGCCUCCUAAUCGAGGUGAUCGCCCUCCACCACCAGUUCUUUUUCCAGGACAGCCUUUUGGGCAGCCUCCACUGGGUCCACUUCCUCCUGGUCCUCCACCUCCAGUGCCAGGCUAUGGCCCCCCUCCUGGUCCUCCACCUCCACAGCAGGGACCACCUCCGCCUCCAGGCCCUUUUCCACCUCGCCCACCUGGCCCUCUGGGGCCACCCCUCACACUUGCUCCUCCUCCACAUCUUCCUGGACCACCUCCAGGUGCCCCCCCACCGGCUCCACACGUGAAUCCAGCUUUCUUUCCCCCACCAACCAACAGUGGCAUGCCAACAUCAGACAGCCGGGGUCCACCACCCACCGACCCCUAUGGCCGACCACCACCAUAUGAUAGAGGUGACUAUGGGCCCCCUGGAAGAGAAAUGGAUGCUGCAAGAACGCCAUUAAGUGAAGCAGAGUUUGAAGAAAUCAUGAAUAGAAACAGGGCGAUUUCGAGCAGUGCCAUUUCAAGAGCUGUGUCUGAUGCCAGUGCUGGUGAUUAUGGGAGUGCUAUUGAGACAUUGGUAACUGCUAUUUCCUUAAUUAAACAAUCCAAAGUAUCUGCUGAUGAUCGUUGCAAAGUGCUUAUUAGUUCCUUGCAGGAUUGCCUUCAUGGAAUUGAGUCCAAAUCUUAUGGUUCUGGAUCAAGAAGACGUGAACGAUCGAGAGAGAGGGACCACAGUAGAUCCAGAGAAAAGAGCAGACGUCACAAAUCCCGUAGUAGAGAUCGUCAUGAUGAUUAUUAUAGAGAGAGGAGCAGAGAACGAGAAAGACAUCGGGAUCGUGACCGAGACCGUGAUAGAGAACGUGAUAGAGAGCGAGAGUAUCGCCACCGUUAAGAGAAGUAAAUGCCUACAUAUUAAAUGGUCCCGCUACAUGUGCAGGAUUUGUUCUUCAGGAAACACACAAGACAGUAAUGCCAGGGAAAAGAGGAAGAUAUCUUACUACCUUAAUCAAGAGGGCUCAUUCUCCACUACUAAAAUCUGAAAAUUUGUUAUCUCCCAAAUCAUUUUCAUAGUUUUCAUUUUUAAUAAAUUAAAAUAAAUUGUUUGAAAUUUCCUAUAAGAUAUAAAUACCUAUAUACUAGAUUUUCUUUAAAAAGGUUUAAAAUUUCUUUGAGUUUUACCCCCAUAAUUGUUAUUGUCUGUCAUGGGUAAGCAUGUACUUUGGUAUCAUUAUUAGUUUGAGGAUCAGCAAAUGGUUACAACACAAUUAAAUGCCUUUUGAUAGGAAGCAUAUAAUUUCACAAUCACAAAAUUUGUUUGAAUCAUAAAAAGCUAUUUUAUUAUGCAAAAUAAAUAUGAAAAUGACAAUUAUGAUUUGUUUAGGAUACUAGUAGAUAAUAAAAUUUUUAAAAACUGAAGGUCCUCAUUUAGUAGUUUGAGAUAAAACCUUUGGCCAGAAAUCAAUUUGCUUCAAUGUGUCAUUCAUAAGCCAUAACCAUUGCUUGUCUUAUCUUUUUUUCUGUAUUUUAAAACAAUUUCUUCUGUAUGUAUUAAGGAUAUUAAUAGAAGAAAUGUCUCUGUAUAAUUCAUUUUCAUGUAUAAUUUGAUUUUAUAUUUGUAAAUAGCAUUUAUUCAUAACAUGAGAAGUGGGGAAAGGUAUUACAUGGCUUAUGCAUGUGACAUAUAAAGGUUACUUUUUUGUUAUCAGUAGUAUAUUUGCCCUUAUGUUGAUGGUUGAUCCAUAUUUAACCUAAGCCCUUUCAUGUCUAGGGCUAUUCUCUAAUAGCUUACUUUUAGUAGUAAUUUGGUGCAUCUAGGAAAUUUAAUCAUCGUUGUCUUGAUGCAGGUAUCAUAAUUUUUAAUGCUCAAGUUUCAAAUUUUAUCUAGUAUAGACAGUUAGAAUGGAUUUUUUUUUCUAGCACCUCAGAUAUGUUUUCACAUUUUGAAAUCAGUAAUUCAUGAAUUAAUACUGCUCUGCAGAAAGUAACCCAUUUAAGUUGAAUAGUGGUUACAUAUUUUUAUCCACAUACAUUAGUGGUUCUAUAUUUUGCCUAGUUUUAAUGAUUUUCCUUGGCCUUUUAGUUUCAUAAUUACUGAAAAUUCAGUUUUUUGUGAAUUCAGUUAUGUAUGUAUGUAUAAAUAAUGGUCAAAACAACCCCUUUAAGGGGAGGUAAAAACAAAGUCCCAAGGGUUUAAAAAAAAUUCCAAACCUCAUAUAUACAUAAAUAUAAAGAGAUUUUUAAAAUAAGUUUACUUUUGAUGUGGGUAGUAAUUGAAUGUUAUAGCAUCUUGUGAAUCUGUAUCUUAAGAAAUAAGACUCUUUUUUGCCCCAAGUUUGAGAACUUGCCAAAUUAACCAGGAAAAAUUCUGCUAUUUACUGUAUCAAUUAAUUAUUGAAGUAAAUUGUGACCAUCAUAUGGCUUGUUAUCCUUAAUGAUUUGAGUUUUGUCAAUCUCAUUUCAAGAAUCAUAUUAGUAACCACAUAUUUCAUUUACGCUCAGGUACAGGUUCUGUGUUUUGAUUUCUUAUUUAGACUUUGUCAGUUAACAUCAGCAAGCUUCUAGUUAAUGAAAGCAUACUGAUAAUAAAACUUGAAUACUGUUAGGAUUUAAUUCUUAAAUUUAUUGAUCCUCAUAUUAAAGGCCUUGUGCCUGGUUAUUUCUCUUUGUUCUUAAAUAUGUUUAAUGACAUUCUGAAAAUAUACAUUUGUUUGGGCAAAAAUUCCUGACAUGUAAAGUCCAUUGUAAAUUUCAAAUACUCUGAUACUACAUUCCAACGUUAAUCACCUAGGUAUUUCAUAAGUUAAAUUAUAUUUAGCAAUUAACUAUGAACUGGCAAAAUGUUAUUGAAAUCUUUUUCUUAAAAUUCUGAUGUAUAAUACCAAAAUUCCCUCAUUUUAUUUUUGUACUUUAAUCUAAACUGAGUUGUAAUAUGUACCUUCAUCUAAAGAAAAAAAUUGCUUAUGGAUUUCUGAAAUAUAUUGUGCUUUUUGCUGUACCACCAUUAUUGAUUACGGAUGUAAGUCAAUUAAAAGGUUGUGGAGCAGAGUAAAAUAUUUCAGCCAAAGAAUCUUAAAAAGCAAAAUUAAAAAACCCCAAACCUUAAUGAUAGAAGUUAUUGCUAACCCACUAAAAUGAGGUCUGCUGUUGACCCACUUUGAAGCUUUUAAAUUCGUGAGUCCUCUUGAUCUUUCUUGUAAAGUUUUAGAUGUACUUAAUGGAUCGAUAGCAUCCUGAAAGCCAAAUGAAUGUCAGUGGAAAUUAUGUAUGCAAAUAAAAAAGCAAUGGAAUUUUUAUAAAAGUGACACAUUGAUACAAAAACAGGCACACGUUCUUAAUUGUUAAUUUGAUGGAUGUCAACAAGUUGUUAUUUGUCUGUCCCAUCUUAAUUUUUUGUGUGUUCAAACUGUUGAUAACAUGUUAAGUACAUUCACUCAUUUCUUAAAAUUGUGUAACUAUUUUUAUAAAACUAUUAGUAGUUUGAGGGCAAGACCUCAAAUAUUGUAAAUUUUGGUAUGUAACUGCAUUGUGCUUCAUUUUUUGUAAUUUCUUCAUCAAUAUUCUCAAACCACUCUAUGCAAAAUAUAAGUAGUAUAACGCUUGCUUUAUAUAGUUUUAAAAGAAAUGAGUUAUUAAUAAUCUAAGCUUCCCUUUCUUUUCUGGAUGUGAAUUUGAAUUUCCUUUAUGUUCAUAAAGGAAAGUAUGGUGGGUCGUUUAAUUUUUUUCUUUUGUCCCUAUUCAUUUCCCUGGAAAUCUCAGAAGUGAUUACCUUUAUCAGGAUGAGAGAGGUUGAACUAUUGACAUGUUUUCCUUUUGAAAGGUAAUUAAAAAUAAAUUUGAUCUGAAAUUCUUGUUUAAAAAAAAGUAAUAAAACCUGAAUGUUUGGUUUGAGUAAUUCUCAGCCUUAUUAUAUAGUGUAGUAAUUCAGUUAAUUUAUGCUAUAUUAAUUGGAAAUAUGGAGUCAUUUAUUCUAAGCUGGACUGAAGUUUCUAUGUUUUAUUUGCACUACUUGUGAAAAGCAAGCAUGUUAUAAAUAAGAUCAUGGGAUGUAGCUUAUUUUAGACACAAACAUGAUUUAGCAGUGCUUUUGCUUUCCAACAGUAAAAGUGCUGAUAGCAAAUCGCACUCUGGCAGGAUCUCUUUCUGGUGACAUCCUUACCUUAUAGAACAUCAGAUGUUAAUUUGGGCUUUAUGUACUUUGGAGUAAUAAAGUACAACUCUUUAUUGACCUGGCAAAUUCUGACUGAUCUUUGCCUUUCUCAUUGCUCCGAAUCAGUCUGGUUUUAUCUCUAAUCAUUUCUGUAAAUGUAAAUGUUAACCUUAUAAGCAUGUUGUAGGGGACACAGCAUUGGACUUUGAGCCACGAAAGGACCUACUACUGCUAUGACCUUGAGCAAGGCACUUUAAAUCUUGUGGGAGUCUCAGUUUCCUCAUGUGUAAAAUGAGAGGAUUAUAUUCACUGACCUCUGCGGUGCCUUCUAGUUCUAAAUUUAUGAUCCUAGAUUUUUUUGGUUUCCUUAUAUUUAAUUGAUCUUUAAAGUUGCUCCUAUUCUAGUAUUCUGUACAUAGCCAUCCAUGGUUGUGCAAAAUUGUGAAGAACAUAGCAGUAUAAUAGAAAACCUAACACCGAGAAAAUAGCUAUAGAACAAAUUUGAAUUUUUUUUUUUAAAACCAGGCUUAUUGGGUGAGGGGAGACAAGUAAAUAUUUUCAUAUCCCUCAUAAAUGUUAAUAUUUGGUACUCAACUAUUUAAAAUUUUAUUCAACAAACAUUUUUAAACUAAUUGCUAUAUACAAAGCACUCUACUAAACCAGUUUUUCAGCUCUUAAAGGCAUUAUUAAAAACUGCAUAAUCUAGGCCUGUGUUUUUUUGUUCUUCCAGUGUUUUACCUUUUAUUGCAUACUCUUUUGGUUCCCCAGAUAUUAUAAAAGUUCUGAACAAUAAUAGUAAGAAGUAAUAAUAACAAAAGUAUGUUUAUUUGUAAUAUUUCCUUAAAUGUAAGAAUUUCUAGAUGUCUGUACAUUUGUAAAAUCAUGGUUUGUAUGAAGUUGUAAAUAUUUUGCUUAUGGUGGUUUGAGAAUAAGUAUAAUUUUAUUUAAAAACUCAUUGAAUUUCCUGUUUUUAUACUAUUUAUCAGUGACUGUGGGUUGCUGCAUCUCCUCACCUUCAUUUCAAUGUGAAACUUACUUUCACUGUUUAGUUUGUAAAGUAGACUGUAGUUUUGUUUGAAUGAAUGUUUCAAAUUAAUAUUGAAUGAUUAGUUAAUACUAUUCAGAAAACCUAAUAUUCAGAAUAAAAGUUUAUGUUUUCAUAAUCUGAAAGCUUGCCUGAAGGGUUGCACAUUUUAAAUUUACACAGAGAUUCUUAGCUGAUUGGGUGGGGAGAGGUUACAUGUUAUAAGCCUUAUUUGGAUAUUAAAACUGACUUUGAAUAUAGCUAGACUGCUAAAUAAUUAGCCUGCUGCCAUUGUGAGGCAAUUUAGAAUAUCACCCAGUAACUUCUUUAAAAAAAGACUUUAGUUUAAAGGAGAGGUAAGUACUAUUCAAGGGCCCAAAGGGAAUAAUUUUAAAAUUUUUGUGUUUUAAUAGUGGGAUUUUUUUUCCUUUUGUAUACAUCUACAAUAAACAGAGAAUUGUUUGUAAUAUAUAUUAGUGCAUCAACAUGUAGGAAUUUAGACCUACAUUCCUUUUUUAUUUAGGGUGUUAAUAACAAAAUAUAAGUACCCAUUGUUUGGUGCCCUCAUUCUUUUCUCAUAAUCCAGGACACUUUUAAGUUAGAGGGAAAAAGAAAAGUUUAGUCAUAAAAAGAGAGUUUUGGUUCCACUGAGUUGAACAAAGUCCACCACUAAAGUGCUUUUUGUCUUACCAAAAUCUUAUUAGCCACGUGAAAUUGCCUUAUUAGUUUAAAUAUAUCUGAUGGAUUUGUUGAAAUUUUUUUUUUAAAUAGAAAUUUGCAAUUUUUAAAAUGAAAUUGUUAAAUUGUUAAGAUUUUGCAUUACCAAAAAAUGUUAUUGAAUAUUGUUUCUUUGUGCAUGGACUUUAAUACACUCAUUUCCAUUUACAAACUUCUCUUAUUGAUUAAUGAAUUCCAUAUUUUCCCCAUACCUUUUGUAUUAUAACUGCUGUCAUAAUCCUAGCUUUUGUAGGAAAAUGACACAGUUAUGAUGCAUAGCAUCGUCAUUACCGAUAAGACAAGAUGACAUUCCUAGAAGCACGGACAUAGAAAAUCUUUGGAAUUUCUGUGCUCUUUUCUAAUUCUUUGUUCAUGUAGAUGUCUACUUAAGUAUUUCUGAAAAGUUGUUGAAUGGGUUAAUGGAAACAUUUGUAAUUUACUUUUAAAUUUGCUUUCUUCUGAGAUACUGUGAAAUUUGUAUUUCUACGUGACUAAUAAAUGUAUGAAGUGUUUAGAAACAAGGAUUAAAAAAUA